rnacentral:rRNA from 1 species
UACAGAGGUCUCAAGCGUUGUUCGGAUUCAUUGGGCGUAAAGGGUGCGUAGGCGGCCAGGUAGGUCUGCUGUGAAAACUCGAGGCUCAACCUCGAGACGUCGGCGGAAACCAUCUGGCUAGAGUCCGGAAGAGGAGAGUGGAAUUCCUGGUGUAGCGGUGAAAUGCGCAGAUAUCAGGAGGAACACCGGUGGCGAAGGCGGGUCUCUGGGCAACAACUGACGCUGAGGAGCGAAAGCGUGGGGAGCGAACAGG